rnacentral:rRNA from 1 species
CCCUUAGUUGAGGCCGAAAGGCGUAGACGAUGGACAGCAGGUCAACAUUCCUGCGCUGCCAGCGGACCGAUGGAGGGACGGCAUCCGAAAAGGGAUCGGACGACUAGAAAUGUCCGUAGGGUGAUCCAAGCCGGGGGAAAGGUAAAUCCGCCCCAUAACGCAAGGGUCAAACUCGAGAGCAUCCAAGUUCUCGAAGUCUCUGGAAGGAUGUCCAAGAAAAGCUCCUAGGGUUGAAAACUGGUAACCGUACUAAAACUGACACAGGUAGGCGAGACGAGUAGUCUAAGGCGCUCGGGAAAAUGGUGGUUAAGGAACUCUGCAAAUUCACCCCGUAAGUUCGCGAUAAGGGGUACCCUUGAGGGUGCAAGCCUUCGAGGGUCACAGAAAAUCGGCUCUAGCAACUGUUUAUCAAAAACACAGGACUCUGCUAACUCGCAAGAGGAUGUAUAGAGUCUGACGCCUGCCCGGUGUUGGUAGGUUAAGGAAGAAGGUUAGCCUCACGGCGAAGCUUGCGACCGAAGCCCCAAUAAACGGCGGCCGUAACUAUGACGGUCCUAAGGUAGCGAAGUUCCUUGUCGGGUAAGUUCCGACCUGCAUGAAUGGCGUAAUGACUGGAGCACUCUCAACCACCAACCCGGUGAAAUUGUAGUCGUGGUGAAGAUGCCACGUUCCCGCGGUUAGACGGAAAGACCCCAUGAACCUUGACUGUAGGCUGAUAUUGGGCUGAGAUUUGUUUUGUGUAGGAUAGGUGGGAGGCUUUGAACCGGUGGCGCCAGCCAUUGGGGAGCCGACGUUGAAAUACCACCCUGAACAUGUUUUAGUUCUAACCUCGAUCCAGUGAAACCUGGCGAGGGACAGUGUCAGUUGGGCAGUUUGACUGGGGCGGUCUCCUCCAAAAAGGUAACGGAGGAGUACAAAGGCACCCUCAGCCUGGUCGGCAAUCAGGCACUGAGCGCAAUGGUAGAAGGGUGCUCAACUGCGAGACCUAUAAGUCGAGCAGAUGUGAAAGCAGGUCAUAGUGAUCCGGUGAUUCCGUAUGGAAGGGUCAUCGCUCAUCAGAUAAAAGGUACUCUGGGGAUAACAGGCUGAUCGCUACCGAGCGUCCACAGCGGCGUAGCGGUUUGGCACCUCGAUGUCGGCUCAUCACAUCCUGGGGGUGAAGAAGCUCCCAAGGGUUUGGCUGUUCGCCAAUGAAAGUGGUACGUGAGCUGGGUUCAGACCGUCGUGAGACAGGUCGGUCCCUAUCUGCCGUGGGCGUACGAAACUUGAGGAGCCUCCUCUUUAGUACGAGAGGAUUUAGAAGGACUCAGCUCUGGUGUACCAGUUGUCACGCUAGUGGCACGGCUGGAUAGCUAUCUGGGGAAAGGAUAAACGCUGAAAGCAUCUAAGCGUGAAGCCCGCUCCAAGAAUAGGUUUCGUAUGGUUAAUAACCGAAAGUCCCCUCGAAGACGACGAGGUUGAUAGGCCGGAUGUGUAAGUUCCGUAAGGGAUUGAGCUUACCGGUACUAACGGACGAACGCUUGGCCAC